UGAUAGCUGUGAAGCGUGAGGUUGCUACAGCAAAUAUGCUGUGGGUUUUCCGUGGAGCGAAUGUCAAGUUAUGAAACUGACGACAA
rnacentral:ncRNA from 1 species